GACAGAGGGUGCGAGCGUUGUCCGGAAUCACUGGGCGUAAAGGGCGCGUAGGCGGUCUGCUAAGCGUGUGGUGAAAGCUCGGGGCUCAACCCCGAGUCGGCCGUGCGAACUGGUGGACUGGGGCACGUCAGAGGCAGGCGGAAUUCCGGGUGUAGCGGUGGAAUGCGUAGAGAUCCGGAAGAACACCGGUGGCGAAGGCGGCCUGCUGGGACGUGGCUGACGCUGAGGCGCGACAGCGUGGGGAGCAAACAGG
rnacentral:rRNA from 1 species